UGACCUCAAAUCAGGUAGGACUACCCGCUGAACUUAAGCAUAUCAAUAAGCGGAGGAAAAGAAACUAACAAGGAUUCCCCUAGUAACUGCGAGUGAAGCGGGAAAAGCUCAAAUUUAAAAUCUGGCAGCUUUGGCUGUCCGAGUUGUAGUCUGGAGAAGCGUCUUCCGCGCUGGACCGUGUACAAGUCUCUUGGAACAGAGCGUCAUAGAGGGUGAGAAUCCCGUCCAUGACACGGACUACCAGUGCUUUGUGAUGCGCUCUCAAAGAGUCGAGUUGUUUGGGAAUGCAGCUCAAAAUGGGUGGUAAAUUCCAUCUAAAGCUAAAUAUU
rnacentral:rRNA from 1 species